AGGUACUGCCCAGUGAGUUCCCGGCGUGCGGCUGCCAGAAAAGAUACAGGUCGCUCAGGGACGCACACACAGGGAAGACAACCCUGUGAAGACGGAGGCAGAAAUCGGAGUUCUGCUACCACAAGCCAGGGAACACCAAGGACUGCCAGCAACCACCAGAAGUUAGGAGAGAAGCAUGGGACAAAUGCUCACACAGAGGCCCCAGAAGGUACCAACCCUGCCGACACCUUGAUUUCAGACUUUAACCUCCAGAACUGUGAGAAAAUACUUAUUUCUGUGGUUUUAAGCCAUCCAGUUUGUGGUCAUUUGUUAUGGCAGCCCUAGGAAACUACUACAGCUCCAGUCAGUGCCACUGUUCCCACGUUGGUGGCAGCUGUUAGCCCUGAGCAGAGGACAGCUCCUUCACCACAGCCGCAGGCAUCAUGCUCCUGUGACAACCCCACUCUCUCCUCAGAGCCAAAGAAGUAGUAAACGGAUGCUCACUGGGUACAGGAUUUCCUUUUGAGUACACUAACGUCUUAAGCCAACAAAUUCUUAUUACCUACACUCUGGCCUUUACCUCUAUUUAUUUUAGCCCAAAGUUCAAGAUUAGCUGAUCCAGAUGAAAUUUUGAGGUGCAGCCUCUACAUUCCAUUCCUUAUCUAUUUGUACUUUGAAUUUCGUCAUAUGGUAUAUACAAGGAGAAAUAAUAAGCAUAGUAAACAAUGAUCUCUUUACAGAUAAACUUUAGCCAAACGACUUCAAUGAGUUAGUCAACUCAUAGGCUCACAGAAUUGAGUGAUUAGCAACUUGACCACAACUAUAUUUAGAAUUCUGGUCAUUGGGAUUGAUCUCUAUGGGAUUUCUAAGUCUUGAUAAACACCACUGGAAAGUCAUAUGGAAUAUGAUUAAUUUCCUAGUGUCAACAUGGACUUGAAACUUUCAUAAACUUUAUUUCAUUUGAUGUUCACUUGUCACAGACCAAGCACACAUACUUAGUCCAAAAUAGAAGUCUCUAUUAAUAAUGACAUUUGCAAAUUUGCAAGUACACUCACAAUUCACACGCGUUGUGAGAAGUCUCAAAAUUAAAAUAUUUCCCUUCAAAUUAGAGAAAGAAAUGCUUCAAAGAACAUAUAUUUAGAAAAAUAAAAUUACAGUUUGGAAACGAAUCCGACCUACCUGAGUAUGGCAGUGACUUCAAAGAUACAACACGAAAGGCACCAUCCAUCAAAGAAAUAAUUGAUAAGCGGGACUUCAUUAAAAUUCAAAAACUUCUGCAAAAGACAAUGUCAAGAGAAUGGGAAGACAAGUCAUAAAAUGGAAGAAAACAUAUGCAAAAGACACAUCGAUAUGGUAAAGGACUGUCACCCAAAGGACUGUACAAAGAACUCUUAAAACUCAAAUAACUGGAUUAAAAGGUAGGCCUUUUAAA